UACAGAGGUCCCGAGCGUUGUUCGGAUUCACUGGGCGUAAAGGGUGCGUAGGCGGUCGGGUGAGUCUGAUGUGAAAUCUCACAGCUUAACUGUGAAACUGCAUUGGAUACUAUUCGGCUUGAGAGUUGGAGGGGGGACUGGAAUUCUUGGUGUAGCAGUGAAAUGCGUAGAUAUCAAGAGGAACACCAGUGGCGAAGGCGAGUCCCUGGACAACUUCUGACGCUGAGGCACGAAAGCUAGGGGAGCAAACAGG
rnacentral:rRNA from 1 species